rnacentral:rRNA from 1 species
CCUACGGGUGGCAGCAGUGAGGAAUAUUGGGCAAUGGACGCAAGUCUGACCCAGCCAUGCCGCGUGCAGGAAGACGGCUCUAUGAGUUGUAACCUGCUUUUAUACGAAGGAAAACGCAGAUACGUGUAUCUGUCUGAAAGUAUCUUACGAAUAAGGAUCGGCUAACUCCGUGCCAGCAGCCUCGGUAAUACGGAGGAUUCAAGCGUUAUCCGGAUUUAUUGGGUGUAAAGGAUGCGUAGGCGGUCGGAUAAGUUAGAGGUGAAAUCCUGAGGCUUAACUUCGGAAUUGCCUUUGAUACUGUUCGGCUAGAGAGUAGGUGCGGUAGGCGGAAUGCAUGGUGUAGCGGUGAAAUGCUUAGAGAUCAGACAGAACACCGAUUGCGAAGGCAGCUUACCAAGCUACUUCUGACGGUGAGGCACGAAAGCGUGGGGAGCAAACAGGAUUAGAUACCCGAGUAGUC